rnacentral:lncRNA from 1 species
CUAUGAUCUCAGAAAGUAAGCAAUAAACAGGGUUUGAAAUUUCAUGUGCUACUCUCAUUCUUCCCUAACCUAGACGUCUGGAAUUAGCUUUCAGUGUAUCUCUGUUUUAUGGAAAAGCCAUAGAGCAAUCAUUUAAAAUUGAAUGUUGGAAAAUUCAUCUUAAGAACAUAUUUUUUUUCCCUUUUCAAGCUUAAUGAUCUCAAGGGUCUUCUGAAAGAGAUUGCUAAUAAAAUCAAAUAAAAUGGCAUGAACGUGUGUGGAGAAAAAUCUAAUUAUGUCAAGGUGAGUUGUUCUAAUGGGUUUUUUCUUUGGUCUGAAAAUUUAUACUUUAAGACGAUUUUAAAAUCAUGAUAAUAAUUUCACUUGCUUUAUGUUAUGUUAUCAUAUUUGAAAAUAAAGCAUUGUGCAAAAACCGAAAACCAAAUAACUUAGGGCUACAGAGAUGAGCAUGUGGGAGCCUGUCCCCACGUGUCCCUGCCUACUGCUAGCUGUGGGGCACCAGUAGCCUUCGGGAGCUUUGAAAGUGCUUGCAGCCUAUUCCGCUAUUUGACAUGAAUUGAAACGCGGUCACGCUGUUCUAAGACUUGCUACUUUUUUCUCCCUUAACAUUAUAUCGGAGAUAUCUUUAUACAUCAGCACCUAAGAUGUACAUAUCUUGUAAUUCAUUAUUGUCUUUCUUGAUUUGGGAUAUAUAAAUGGAGGGUGAUCGUGUUUUCUAGCUCAAAGUGCUUUCGUGUGGUAGUCAGGGGUUUUAGCAAUAGCUCCUCCGCACGGUGAGGAUGUGAUUAGGGGAACUGGGAAGACGGAGCUCAAGGCUUUGCUCCAGGGUCUUACCAUGUUCUCUAAGUAUGUUUCCUGUUACCUGUCCAAACCCUGGGACCAAAAUGUUAAAGGACGUGGGACGUUAGGGCAAAAUAGCUGUGGGCUUAUUACAUUUCAGAGAAUGGAAACAAAGAAUCCCCCCAACCCCACCACCAUUAUUACUCAGUGAGUGGCUGCUGGGCGCCCGGAGCUGUGUGGUCACCCGCACUGACCCUCGCACUGAGGGCUGUGCGUUAAGCACUCAGACCACAGCAUUUCCAUCUGUGGAGUGGCUGUGCUCCGGGGGAGAUCGUGGGGCAUUGUGUUCCUUGCCAUCCUUCUGGUCACUCAGCUCUUUUCCUUGGGUGCUGACACUUACAGAUCAUGUUAAAAGCCCUUCAUUGUGGAGAGCUCUGUUAGAGAAAAAUGGAGGCGUAUCUGACAUAAUCUGAAAGGCAAGGACAUCUGGAGCGCCAGGAACCAAGCUGCGGGGGCUGGGGUGUAGCUCAAUGGGAGCACAUUUGCCCACCAUGGGAGAGGCCCUGGGUCCAUGCCCUGCACUGAAAAAUGAAAUCAAACAAUAUAAAUAAAGGAAUAUAAGCCUUGCAUAUUCAGGAAUAACAUUUCAACUGUUCACUGCAGUGUUCAAUGAAAAUAAUAGUAAACCUGGUAAUAAAUCAUAACUUGGAUUUUGAAAUACUUGCCAUUUUGUUUUAUGGUCUAAAAGAUAGGGGAUAAAACCCAAUCAUGGACAGAUACAACAAUUCAGGGUGGUUAAGUGGUGAUUAAGGAGUUGUAAUAACCAGGAAGGACUCAAGUUCAGACCUGCAUCCACCUCUGGAAGCUCUGGCUGUGGUGAGUGGGCGAUAGAUGGGCUUCAUCCCUGUCCACUGCCCUCUGCUCGGCCACAGACCUUCAGUAGUAUAUUGAGAGUUAAUUAAAUGGUGAGCAGAGAUGAACUGGGAUGGCGUCACCUGGUUGCCGUGUGUGCCGGUGUGUGUGAGCACACAUCUAUGAAAGACAGACUGGGGUAAGACAGCAUGUGGGAGAACAGGUAGAGAGAGGUGUCCCACCCACCCUCAGCCACUGACGUCUUUGGGAACAGUGACUUUGGCGCAUCUAAUUUUUGUGUACUUUUUACCUCUAGAUAUAAGAUAAUUUUUUUGGACAUUUUCUGUCUGUUGUAUCCUUAAGAAUUUUGCUGAAAAUUUGAUUUCAUAGGCAUCCAGCUACAGGUGGUUAAAAUGUUCCUCUUGAGGUGCUUCCUGAUGCCUCUGUCUCUGAGGGGUCAGGUGGCCGCCUUUCCCUGGGCCUCAGUCAAGGGAACCAAAGCUCAGCUCAGAAGACCGUGAGCUGGUACAGGUCCAGGCAGGGCAGAGCUGACCUGGGACAGGCCUCUCCCAGUUCUCGAAUCUCUAUCCCCAAAUCAGCCUUUCACCGUCUCUUGGGAGGGAAUAAACAGAGGGCUGUGUGUUUCACACUGUGGUUAAAAGGAAGGAAGUCCAGGGUGAGAGGUGGCCAUUCUCCACCCGCUUUAUACCUGAGCAGCGGGGCAUCUCCAGGAGCCGGGGAAGGGCUCCCUGAGAUGGCCUCUCCCCACACAGCGCUUGCCUUCUGACAGCCAGAGGAUCUGAAGUUGUCCUGGGAGUCUUCUAGAGCUGCAUUUGGGCAGGUUCUCCCGGGCUUCGCUUCACUAUCAACUCCCUGUUUUUCUUGUGCAGAAACCACUGAGUAAAGAACGCGCUCAGAGACUUUCGGGGUCUUGACCUCGCUGCAUGAGUCGAGCCUGGGCAUCCUACCUAACUCUCGAGUUCACCCCAGCCACUGGCCAGAGCACACAUCCUUCAGAAAGAAACCUUCUUGGAGCCACUUCAACACCAAAAGAAACUCCUCGUCUGUGGUGGGACGCGUGGCCCCUGUCCCACCGCGGCAUGCCACGGAGCAAACCUGGCUGGCCUGGGAGAGGAGGGGGUCUUCCUACCUAGGAUCUGCCUUUGUUUUCACAGGUGACGCCACUCUCCGGCCAGGCAGGUGCAAGGGAAGCUGGUCACCAUCCUGCUAUUGGCUGCUGAGAAUUCCCAGGUUCCUGGACACAGAGCGGGUGGUUCUUAGUCACCCCAGGGUGCCGGGACCUGAGAAGCAACAUGAAGACGAUGAAAGUGCGUCUGCCUCCGGUGCCCCUGCUCUGUGUCCCGAGCCUCCUGCAGAAGAGUCUGCCUGUUCUGGACUCGUCCUCUUUCCCUCGCCUUUCUUACUCUUGACCACAAGCCUACUAGGAGAGCGUCCCCCGUGCACAGAACAGCCUGGCUGCCUGACUCCAUGUGGUUUUCUUGUUUAUUUCCAGUUGAGUCCUUACCGUUUCCUUUUUUGUAUUGUGGGACUGAUUUCUUGACAUAUUGUUAAAAGUCUCCCAGAUCAGGUCAGAUUCCAAAACGUGCUGUAGCAAGAGGACCCCGCUGUGCUCAGGUGGGGGCUCUUUUCACUCCUCCUCCAGCUUCUCAGCACUAGGGCAGGGGCCCCGGGGUGACUCCCUCUCCACCUGGCGGGGGUUGCUGCUGCUGAGGGCUGCACUGCUCCUGACCAUGUGAACAGUCACCGGUAGUGGACCCUCAAGAGGCGCUAUGAUCUCCCUGGGUGCUCCUCUGAUUUAUUAUUUUUUCAUUAAAAAUAAUACCUGGAUAGAAACUUUAGACCACACAGAGAUGUAGAAAGAACACCAACACCUAAAGGUCAUCACCGUUCAUGUUUGUGGGAGUUUCUCCAAGUCUAGUUUCUUUCUAAGCACAUUUUAUUUCCCUUUCAAAAUGUUAAAUAAUGUCAUUAUAUUGCAUAUAUGGUUUUGUAUAAGCUUUUCCACAUAAUAUUUCAUCAAAGAUGUUUUCUUUAUAUUCAUGGUAUUCUUCAAUGUUGUAUCAGUAAUUCCAUGAUAUUCCACCUCUAGUGAUGCCUCUACUGUUGGUCAUUGAAGGCUGUUUCCAGUUGGCCAUUGGGAUGAACAUUUUUGUGCAUGAAUCUUUUUCUGCAUUGGGCCAAUUCCUCAAGGCUUAGAUUUCAAGGAAUAUCUUUAGUGAUUAUCAAACCACUUCCAAGGCUUUCUCAUAAAUGUAUAGCAAAUAGGAAUUGUUAACUUGAGUAUAUGAUAUGAGACACAUGAAGCUACAACUAUUAAAAUAUUAUAUUUAAUCCUUAGUUUAGGAAGAAGCUCCUAUGCCUAUUUAAACAUUAUGGGUGGUGAAGGCAUUGGUAUAGAGUUGAGAAUUCUCUUACUGAGCACACGUAGUCCUCUCUUUUUCUGAAAGUGGUGGUAUCUGAGCUCCAAAGAGAAGCACUGGAGGUGUAUCAGGCAACUUAAAUGCCAUAACUGGUUUUUCAGCUUUGAAUAGACUAUAAAUGCCAUGGCUGAAGAAGGGAAUCCUGGAAGGCAGCUAUUCAAUGAACAGCUAAUUAGAGAAACCACAAAGCAUUGACCAAAAAAAGUUGAGUUUCAUUUUGUAUGGGCAAUAUUUAAAAUGACUAUUCACCACCUUUAUAAGGUUUUCAGGGAAUGAAUUCAAAUAGAAGGUGACUUUUUACGCAACCCCAGUAAUGGCCUGAAAGGGAAUAGUGUCUAUCAGUUCAUGGCUUCGGUGAGGGAAGUGGAUGGGACAAAAUUUACAUGACAAAAAUGGUCAAUGAAAAGAAAGUUCAAAAUUUCUCCCUUAGAGAGAGAAUGUCACUUGCAUGUCACCAUGGCAACUUGAAUACCUGCUGUUCUGAAACUCCCAGGAAGGUCAUUCCUCUCCAUGCUGGUUGGAAAAAGGAACGCAUUUGGCAAACACAAGACUGUGCAGGCCAAAGAGCGGCUCGGGGAGCCAGUCCCUCAAUUCAGGUGGGGAAUUUGAAUGAAAUCAGUAAAUCAAGUCAGAACUCCCAGAGGUGAAGGUCAGUGUCAUCUAUUUGCUGGUCACCCCCUAGAGGACUUAUUCAUACGGUUUCUAGUGCGUCUCGUCUGCUGGACGUUUCUGCACAGCUGCUCGACGUGAUUUUUGCUUAUGCGAAAUCGUUUCUAGUGUAACUCAUGAAAACAGCACACGUAUGGAAAUUCCUUCCUCAUUCAAAGGUGCUACAUCCUCGUGUAUGAUCAGUGUGUUCUGUGGUCUUAGGCACAACUGGAGAACUCUGUGGCUUGAUCCAAAUGACUGUUAAUAAUUAAAUAACAGAGGAAUUGUCUGUCCAGUGUUCCUUUUGCUAUUCUACUGAGAGUGGAAAAAAUAAAAUUCUUAUCAUUGAGUCUGAAUC